rnacentral:tmRNA from 1 species
GGGGACGCAAUGGUUUCGACAGGUUUUAAGAAACUUGGUCAGCGGGUAGUGGCGCGGACACACUAUAAAAUCCGUAUCUAAAUUUAAACGGCAAUAAACAAUUGCUCGCUGUAGCCUAAUUUAGGCUACCGUCCUAACCCCGAGUACCGCGGCGGGGCAAAGGGCGUCGAUUAGCGGUUAAUCUGAACGGCGCCACUCCUUUAACGCCGUCAGAAAUUAAAGGAUACCGCGCGCCGGUUUUGAAUGCUUAAAAGCGCAGCGGGAACCACCAAAACAUUCUGCACCCGGAGAGCCCAAGCGGAUCAAAGUCUGGACACGGGUUCGAUUCCCGUCGUCUCCACCA